rnacentral:misc_RNA from 1 species
GAUGAAGAACGUAGUGAAAUGCGAUACGUAGUGUGGAUUGCAGAAUUCAGUGAAUCAUCGAAUCUUUGAACGCACAUUGCGCCCCCUGGUAUUCCGGGGGGCAUGCCUGUUCGAGCGUCAUUUCACCACUCAAGCCUCGCUUGGUAUUGGGCAACGCGGUCCGCCGCGUGCCUCAAAUCGACCGGCUGGGUCUUCUGUCCCCUAAGCGUUGUGGAAACUAUUCGCUAAAGGGUGUUCGGGAGGCUACGCCGUAAAACAACCCCAUUUCUAAGGUUGACCUCGGAUCAGGUAGGGAUACCCGCUGAACUUAAGCAUAUCAAUAAGCGGAGGA